AUGUAGCUCAGUGGGUAGAGUGCUUGCCUUGCAUGCAUGAAGCUCUGAGUUUGAUUCUCAGUACAUA
rnacentral:tRNA from 1 species